rnacentral:rRNA from 1 species
GAUGAACGCUGGCGGCGUGCCUAAUACAUGCAAGUCGAGCGAACAGACAAGGAGCUUGCUCCUUUGACGUUAGCGGCGGACGGGUGAGUAACACGUGGGUAACCUACCUAUAAGACUGGGAUAACUUCGGGAAACCGGAGCUAAUACUGGAUAAUAUUUCGAACCGCAUGGUUCGAUAGUGAAAGAUGGUUUUGCUAUCACUUAUAGAUGGACCCGCGCCGUAUUAGCUAGUUGGUAAGGUAACGGCUUACCAAGGCGACGAUACGUAGCCGACCUGAGAGGGUGAUCGGCCACACUGGAACUGAGACACGGUACAGACUCCUACGGGAGGCAGCAGUAGGGAAUCUUCCGCAAUGGGCGAAAGCCUGACGGAGCAACGCCGCGUGAGUGAUGAAGGUCUUCGGAUCGUAAAACUCUGUUAUUAGGGAAGAACAUACGUGUAAGUAACUAUGCACGUCUUGACGGUACCUAACCAGAAAGCCACGGCUAACUACGUGCCAGCCGCCGCCGUAA